UGGGGGAUAUUGCACAAUGGGCGAAAGCCUGAUGCAGCGACGCCGCGUGGGGGAUGAAGGCCUUCGGGUUGUAAACUUCUUUUGCUCUGAACAAGGCAUGCCUUUGGGGUGUGUUGAGUGUAGGGGUUGAUUAGCGCCGGCUAACUACGUGCCAGCAGCCGCGGUAAUACGUAGGGCGCGAGCGUUGUCCGGAAUUAUUGGGCGUAAAGGGCUUGUAGGUGGCUGGUUGCGUCUGUCGUGAAAGCUCAUGGCUUAACUGUGGGUUUGCGGUGGGUACGGGCUGGCUUGAGUGCAGUAGGGGAGGCUGGAAUUCCUGGUGUAGCGGUGGAAUGCGCUGAUAUCAGGAGGAAUACCGGUGGCGAAGGCGGGUCUCUGGGCUGUUACUGACGCUGAGGAGCGAAAGCGUGGGGAGCGAACAGG
rnacentral:rRNA from 1 species